GAAGGAGUUGAGAGCGGAGAAAGUUAAGAGUUUAAGGUAACAUUUCAUCAUCGGACAAAGGAAGCAGUAAUUUUAUUGCCGUUUUUUGAAGUUUUUAUUUUUAUAUUUUUGCUUUAGUGGACUCAUUCCCUCUCGGUUGUGUGCAGCCAGCGAGUUUGACGGUGGAUUUGAUGACGGUGACGAAGGGCGGAGAAAUGAGAAUAAAUCCAUCAGUAUCUGAAACCCAAUGGUGUCAUCUAAUUCCUGGAGGGAGUGAUACCUGCUACCUGAAAACCCGACCUGCUCCUGCUCCUGGUGACCCACUUUUUACCAUUGAUGGCAGCAAGCCCAUGACCAGAUCUUGGUUUUCCGAAAGGCUGCGUGAACUCUGCUUGAGUUGUGGGCUGUCUCCAGCGGCGUACACUGCUCACUCCCUCCGAAUUGGGGCAAAUACAACUGCAGCACUGCUCGUGCCCACGCCUUCCCUUAAGUCUCUGGGCCGAUGGUCUUCGGCUGCUUACGUCAGAUAUAUUCGCUUCAACAAAAAUGAAAUUCUGCAGGCUCAAAAAAUCAUGAGUGCUCAUGCCCUGUAAUCCGGCUUCAAUAAAUGUUCAGCUGCACAUUAUGGUUGUAUCUGGUGGAUUGCUGGGAAGGGGGUUUGCUGCUAAUUAUCCUUUUAGGCUCUAAAUAGACUGACAGGGCUGAUUCUAUGGUAGAUGCUCCACCAUUCUCAUA